AGUGACAACUGUCUCUCUCAAGCUGGGAUUCAGACAGAGAGGCUGUAUGUCAAAGAGUCUCCCUAAAGAAAUCAUCUUUGAAGCUGCCUGACUUGGAUUAUCCUCAAGGAAAAGUUGAGUGUGAGUUCCUCUUUCACACACAGUUGUGAGUUAGGUGUGAACUUCCUCCCUUCCUGUAUCUUAUGGCACUUCGAAAUUUUGAAUCUACAUGCCCAAAUCUGAAACUUCCAUUUAAGAGAAUAUAUGUAUCAUUAAGUCCAUACAUCUUGUUUUAGAGGCUCAUGAUCAUCACUGUUAGAGGAAAAAUGUAAGAUCCAGAAAUAAACAUUCCAAUAUUCUUA